rnacentral:rRNA from 1 species
CUUGGUCAUUUAGAGGAAGUAAAAGUCGUAACAAGGUUUCCGUAGGUGAACCUGCGGAAGGAUCAUUAGUGAAUUAGACAUGCUUGGUGUCUUCGCUUCGGCAAGGCCCUUGCUUAAAUCACAUCCUAACACCUGUGAACUGUAAGACGUAUGAUGAGGUCUUUGGCCAAGUCAUCGUCUGCCCUUUUUUAACAAACAAUUAAUGUAACAAACGUAGUCUUAUUAUAACCUAAUAAAACUUUCAACAACGGAUCUCUUGGCUCUCGCAUCGAUGAAGAACGCAGCGAAAUGCGAUAAGUAAUGUGAAUUGCAGAAUUCAGUGAAUCAUCGAAUCUUUGAACGCACCUUGCGCUCUUUGGUAUUCCGAAGAGCAUGCCUGUUUGAGUGUCAUGAAAAUAUCAACCUUGACUUGGGUUUUGUGCUCUAGUCUUGGCUUGGAAUUGGGUGCUUGCCGCUUUUACGAGCGGCUCACCUUAAAUGUAUUAGCUGGAUCUGUCUUUGAGACUUGGUUUGACUUGGCGUAAUAAGUGUUUCGCUAAGGACAUUCUUCGGAGUGGCCUCGUUUCUAGGACGCUUGUCCGCUUCCCAAUAAAAGUUCCACCUCGUGGACAUGACUUUUUUAUUAUCUGGCCUCAAAUCAGAUAGGACUACCCGCUGAACUUAAGCAUAUCAAUAAGCGGAGGA